rnacentral:misc_RNA from 1 species
AAUAUGAAAAAAGAUCUGUUGUUUCUCUCUAGUAGUUGUGGAUAUGUGUGGGACCUAUCAGCAUGUAUGAGAUAGGGAGCAUGAAUCUUAUUGUGUGUUUGGUUGUACUUGAGUGCGUUGUGAAAACAAAGGUCACCAUGCAGAAUUCUGUAGUGGUCAAUGAAAGACAAAGGAAAUAGUUUGCCGUUAUGGGACUGUAGAUGGGAGGAAUUUCUAAAUCUAUGAUUUGGGGAAAACACUAUUGCAUGAUAUCGCUAAGGCACGUCAUUAAUUUAUUAAUGAUGUUAAUUUAGUUGUAGAUGAGCAAUUUAAUAUACAAAGACAAGAUGGAUAACUUCAUUGACCUAAUUUCCAACCGUUACUUAAACCACUUGUUAUUUAUUAUAUUAUUGUCUUAUUCUAAUGAUCUCAUCAUAUAUUUAAGUGAUUUGGAUAAUUUCUAGCUUUUUUUCUUUCUUUAUGAUGAGUUGAUAUUCAAAGUAUUAUUAUGCGAAUUCUUUAUAGAAAAAAUAAUUGAAUCUUAAGCUUCAUUUAUUUUAUGUCAAGGGGUAAAUUUGGGUAGUGAAAUAUAAUUUUUAGAGACAAAAAAAAUAUUUUGUAUUUAUUUUUGUUUAUGCAAUUCUAGGGAUAUAAUGACUUAAGCAUAGUGAUCCUGUCACCCCAUUGUGUCCUUAAUGCUUUUUAAGGAGAGUGACUAGUUGACUAGUGACAGGUAUAACUAGUCACUGAUAUGGUGAUUUUUUUUGUCUUGCUGCUCCUUAUAAGUUCCUCUAUCUAUAAGUAAUGAAAGGAUUAUUAAUCCAGUUGUAUCGAUUAUACUAUAUGAAUAAAAG